rnacentral:lncRNA from 1 species
CUAAUAGUCACUUCAAACCCUUAUCUUUAUACACCCGCGUGUAAUUUUCUUCAUAUCUCACAAAAUAUAAGUUCAAAUGCCACGAAAUUUGUAUGUAUAGCUUCUUAACACAAAAUUUUACAUUUUCCAAAAAAGUUUGAGCCAAAAAUUUGUUUGAAAACUCAAGUUAUGGCUCCAAUCAUUACUAUAAACAAAACUUCUCACUUAUUGCCUUUGAUUUGGAAGUGCCGCUUUCAACUCCUUAUAACUCCUUUACAUAAAUUCUAAAAGCAAAAAUUCUUUCAUAAAAGAUGUAGGCCUUAAAAUCGCCGUUCCAGCCGCACCUUCCGAUCUUCAAAAGCUACUAUACAACUCCUCGUAUCCUCAAAAGAGUAACAAUAUGUCUUAAAUUAAUACCUUAACUUUGAACACCUAUAUCUCUUUCACAAAAACUCAAAAUCACACAAACUCUUCGCCC